UGCGGCAGUGCUCCGCACUUUGCAAGCGUGCCGGUAAUGCUUCUUUUCAGCGCUCGGGAACCUGUAAGGGGGUUGCCUCCACCCACAUUCAGGCUCCAUACCCUAAAGCACCGGCAGUCCCUGACCAUACCCUACGGUUUGAUCAUUGUCACCUGUUUUUGAGUAAUGACUGUUCUGCUGCAGACUCCGAAGAGCACGCUGCCUUCUGCACAAGCAAACGCUGCUUUUCCACGCCGGCCGCCGCAACGUCGACCCCCCGGCGUGCGCAGGUCUGUCCGGUGACCAUCGACUCGCCAUUCACCUCAUCCCUUCCUUACGCUCCAACUCCAGCUAGCUACGCUGACCUUCAGCUUCCUUCGGCGAGACGCUGGAUUUUACUUAUGCGAUUAUUUUCUAUUUUGGGGAAGUCUUCCCUUCUACUUCUGUUACAUUGAAAAAAGCCAGCAUCUGGUAUCACAAUACAAACAGAUAUGGCUACCCUAAAAACGGAGCUUUCAGAGGCUUGGCAGGAUCCCUGAUCCGCGCUGCGAGGAGCUGCCGGUGGCCAAAUACACUGAUAAAAAGGAUGUGUAACUCCUCAACACUAUCCAUGAUGGAAACAACUGCAGCUCUCACUGGAGGUCAGGACGCACACGAAAACAAGCCUACAUGUGUAGCAGAUUACAACAAACACAUGGCCAAGAUGGACUCGACAGAUCAAAUGUUGGAAUCGUAUGAUGACACAUGGAAAAGUGGAGUUUAGCAGGGGAAAAAAGCAACUGAGAGCCCAUAUGUUCAAUUAGCAAGAUACAAAGCUUUUGUUGUAUACCAAAAAUAGCAAAUAAAAGUCUGUUGUCAUUUUUGGAUAUCCAGAUGUGUUUCAUUUCCAGCUUCACAUCUGAACGUGUGGACCUGCCUGAAGAUGAAAGAGAGGAAAGUGUGGCAAUGGCUGAAGGGUAUAAUUACAUCAAAACUCUUCCUUCCAAACAAUGGGCGAUUACGCUCCCCCGCACCUUACGCAGCCCAGCCUGUGCACGAGCCAGGGGCCGGCUGCUCGGCCUUCAGCAGGCUUUUACCUGCUUUCCAGAGCAGGGACGGCACCUUAGCAGAGAUGUUCUCUUGCGAAUGUGAUUCCUCCUCACGCCGACAGAGCUGCCUCUCCUGUGCUCCAUUAGCUCGAUCGCCUUGGCUCCCACGGUGAUGAAAUGAUAUCCCCACAGGCUACGAGUGGAAAUUCUCAGUGACCAAUUAAGAAAAGUCUCUGUCUUGAUGGCUACUUUGAAAUAUCCCAUCUUUUCAAAGAAUCAUAAGAGAUUCAGGAUUUAUGGACCUCCUGAGCAGACUCACAAAGGGCAGAAGUGAAUGCCAAGUCACGAGCAUAACAACAGCUACCUGGCCAGAGACUGUAUAAAGAAAACACCAGUCUAUAACCAAUAAACACAAGUUACUUAGGUAGCACUCAAACAAAACCAGAUGGUCUCAUCUACUGCAGGUUUCCCUUUUCUUUUCUCAUUUUUUCCCCUCGGUGUUUUGGAAUUUAAAUUAUACUCAAACAAGAAACAUUUGUCAAUGGUACGACGAGGCUUCAGGUGUGCUACCUGGUCUGACACGCAGUUUAAUUAAGGCAGGAGUUUAUUCAACCAGCUUUUAGAGGAGGAAAGGCGAAACUGUGGAUGCCAGCGGUGCAACACAUACCCUCAGCAGAGCACUUGGCUGAGACUUCUCCUGGUGGUCACCAGCACCACCUCCAAGCCCACACCUCCCAAGCAGCAAUGCGUUUAUUCUGCAGGCACGGCUGUGGGGCAGUAUUAUUAUCUCUCAUUCACAAAUGGAAAAACUGAAACACACAGAGAUUCAGUUACAUGCCCAGGAUCACCCAAGAAGCCUGUGGCUGAGCUGGGAUUAGACCUUCGAGCUUCCCAGUCCUUGCCCAGCUCUUAACCACAACACCAUCCUUCCUGAAGGCUUUUAUGUAGUUAUAUUUAUCUUUAUGUAGGGUCAUCUUGGCUCCCAUUAUAAAAAGCACAUAUGGUUUCCAGUCCUCAAAUUGCCUGGGUAAGGGUUAAAUAUUCAAAUAUAAUGUUAUUCCUGGCAUUUAUGGAAAAGUUUCUCAGUGCCGAUUCCAAAAUCCCAUGGCUUUUUUUGAGCUGCUGCUCUGUAUCACUGAUAGUUAUAAACGGCCUUGUCACUUCCAUGCCUGUGAAUUGAUAACAAUGAAGUCUUUUAUCCAAAGGAUCAAAAUUAGGCUAAAUGAUGCGGCUACACGUUUGCAUUUGCUAAUGUUCUAAUACGAAUUUUAUGACCAUACAGUUGGUAUCAACAGAAUUCAGGAAGAAGGAAAACCAGCGAAUGCUCCCGCAAUAACCUACGUACGCCCAGCGUAAUCCCAUGAGCUCAAAUUCCUUGUGUUAUGCCUUUAGCAUAAACUCUCGAAUCACAAAGCCCCUCUGGACUGCAGUGAACAGCCGUAGCACCCCAAAGGUUAAUCAAAAAAACAAUGACGCUAAUAACCACCAAACGUAAACAAGCACCUCUUACCACCAUAAUCUCAUUGGCACUGCUGCAAAAAUUAUUACUAAAAGAAAUCCGAAUGGCAAAGCCACUCGCACCAAUCUGUACUUAGGGGUCUAUUCUGGGCGUCGCCUCCACCUGGGUGUGUGGUUAAACACUUUAUUCCUGAGUCAGCUAAACCAGAAUUGCUGCGCUUUGUCUCAGAGUCCCUUUGGUUGCAUCCAGACCACUUGAGUAACCACCCUGUGAUCCCAAGGGAGAGGCAGUCUGCUCUCACCCACGUGCAGGGGUGCAGCAGACAGGUACACCGGCCAAGGCACAGACAGUUGGUUUUACACUCUGGCGUGCAUCCAAGCAACUUUAUUCUUCUUGUGUUACUAUGGCGUGUUGUACUGCUGUGCGUAAAGACCAGAAAGAAGAAGAAAAAGGAAGAUUUACUAUCACGGUCUAUCUUCUAGGUUAGUAAUGAUUGAUGGACUCUGUGUUUGUAUCUGAUUUUUGUUUCCACUCUGUGUAAUGUAUAAAGGAAUAAGAGGAGUGAGUAAUACAUCUUGCUCCCAGAAAGCAGCAGACAAGCAAACCCACGCUGGGGCAUUACUGCCAGCACGGUGCACUGCAGAUGCGGGAGUCACCACGCAAAUGCCAAGGGACAGGAGCUCCCCGUAUCGCCCGAGCAGCCACACGGAACCUCCAAGUCCCUGCUGCUUCCCCACCGAACACCGAACUGCAGCCCCGGGGAGGUUUCGUUACAUGUCGUCGUGUUUUUCAGCUCAUUUAGAAAGGGUGUAUCUGUGUGCACGGUUUGGAG